rnacentral:lncRNA from 1 species
CCCAAGAGAAUGCUGCUGCACGUGGUGAAAGAGCUGGCGAGGCUGAACUUGAAGCCCAAUCUUUAAGAGAGGAUCUCGCUAAGGUAGCAGCUGAAAAAGAUGAAGCUCUCAAGCAGUAUAUGCAAUCCCUUGAGAUGAUAGCAAAGCUCGAGAACAAAUUACAGUGCGCUGAAGAAGAUGCAAAAAAGUUAACUGAGAGGGCUGAGAAAGCAGAAAAUGAGGUUGAAUCUCCCUUGAGAUGAUUGCAAAGCUCGAGAACAAAUUACAGUGCGCUGAAGAAGAUGCAAAAAAGUUAACUGAGAGGGCUGAGAAAGCAGAAAAUGAGGUUGAAUCUCUCAAACGAGACAUUCUAAAAUUGACUGGGGAAAAAGA